CAAUCUUAGUGGCGGACGGGUGAGUAACGCGUGGGUAACCUGCCUUGCACUGGGGGAUAACACUUAGAAAUAGGUGCUAAUACCGCAUAAGCGCACGGUCCCGCAUGGGACAGUGUGAAAAACUCCGGUGGUGCAAGAUGGACCCGCGUCUGAUUAGCUGGUUGGCGGGGUAAAGGCCCACCAAGGCGACGAUCAGUAGCCGGCCUGAGAGGGUGGACGGCCACAUUGGGACUGAAACACGGCCCAAACUCCUACGGAAGGCAGCAG
rnacentral:rRNA from 1 species